GAUGAACGCUGGCGGCGUGCCUAAUACAUGCAAGUCGAGCGAACAGACGAGGAGCUUGCUCCUCUGACGUUAGCGGCGGACGGGUGAGUAACACGUGGAUAACCUACCUAUAAGACUGGGAUAACUUCGGGAAACCGGAGCUAAUACCGGAUAUUAUAUUGAACCGCAUGGUUCAAUAGUGAAAGACGGUUUUGCUGUCACUUAUAGAUGGAUCCGCGCCGCAUUAGCUAGUUGGUAAGGUAACGGCUUACCAAGGCAACGAUGCGUAGCCGACCUGAGAGGGUGAUCGGCCACACUGGAACUGAGACACGGUCCAGACUCCUACGGGAGGCAGCCGUAGGGAAUCCUCCGCAAUGGGCGAAAGCCUGACGGAGCAACGCCGCGUGAGUGAUGAAGGUCUUUGGAUCGUAAAACUCUGUUAUUAGGGAAGAAAAAAUGUGUAAGGAAAUAUGCACGUCUUGACGGGACCUAAUCAGAAAGCCACGGCUAACUACGUG
rnacentral:rRNA from 1 species